rnacentral:rRNA from 1 species
CCUAAUACAUGCAAGUCGAGCGAACGGACGAGAAGCUUGCUUCUCUGAUGUUAGCGGCGGACGGGUGAGUAACACGUGGAUAACCUACCUAUAAGACUGGGAUAACUUCGGGAAACCGGAGCUAAUACCGGAUAAUAUUUUGAACCGCAUGGUUCAAAAGUGAAAGACGGUCUUGCUGUCACUUAUAGAUGGAUCCGCGCUGCAUUAGCUAGUUGGUAAGGUAACGGCUUACCAAGGCAACGAUGCAUAGCCGACCUGAGAGGGUGAUCGGCCACACUGGAACUGAGACACGGUCCAGACUCCUACGGGAGGCAGCAGUAGGGAAUCUUCCGCAAUGGGCGAAAGCCUGACGGAGCAACGCCACGUGAGUGAUGAAGGUCUUCGGAUCGUAAAACUCUGUUAUUAGGGAAGAACAUAUGUGUAAGUAACUGUGCACAUCUUGACGGUACCUAAUCAGAAAGCCACGGCUAACUACGUGCCAGCAGCCGCGGUAAUACGUAGGUGGCAAGCGUUAUCCGGAAUUAUUGGGCGUAAAGCGCGCGUAGGCGGUUUUUUAAGUCUGAUGUGAAAGCCCACGGCUCAACCGUGGAGGGUCAUUGGAUACUGGAAAACUUGAGUGCAGAAGAGGAAAGUAGAAUUCCAUGUGUAGCGGUGAAAUGCGCAGAGAUAUGGAGGAACACCAGUGGCGAAGGCGACUUUCUGGUCUG